rnacentral:rRNA from 1 species
UACGAACUGUGCAAACGUUAUUCGGAAUCACUGGGCUUAAAGGGUGCGUAGGCGGUCAUUUAGGUAGGGUGUGAAAGCCCCCGGCUCAACCGGGGAAUUGCGCCCUAAACCGGGUGGCUGGAGUGAGAUAGGGGUGUGUGGAACUUCCGGUGGAGCGGUGAAAUGUGUUGAUAUCGGAAGGAACGCCGGUGGCGAAAGCGACACACUGGGUCUCAACUGAACGCUGAGGCACGAAAGCCAGGGGAGCAAACGGG